rnacentral:lncRNA from 1 species
CGCGUCUGCAGUGUGUGGGGUUCGCGGGGCGGCGGGUAGAGGCGAGUGUUUAGAGACUUCGGGUCCCUGACUCGCCUCCAGCAGUGGAGACAGGUCAUCGGUCUGUUGAGCAUUUUUGUCAUCUGCAAAUAAUUUUAGCCAGGUGGCAAGUGUAUGGACUGUGGAGUAAGAAGUACCUGCCUCUGCCUCUGACUUGGGUUCUGGCCUAUAGGAACAAGACAUUUUCAGUAAUGGAAGAAGGAGCUUCCAGGCUGGGGAAGAUCAUCAUUUCCAGUGGUAGCUUGACCUGAGAUGAUACCUGACCACCACUUCUGGGAAGGCCCAGAAUAGACAGAAGAGAGAGAACAUACUAGAGUUGCUAGCCCCUAAGAGUUGAACGAAAUGGGCAAGGCCCAGCUGAAAUAACAGGAAACACAUGAAAAAUGCCACGAUUGUAAUGUCUGUGAGGAGAGAGCAAGGCAGUUCUUCAGGGGAGGGGUCAUUGUCAUUCGAAGAUGUGGCUGUGGGCUUCACCAGGGAGGAGUGGCAGUUUUUGGACCAGUCUCAGAAGGUCUUGUACAAGGAAGUAAUGUUGGAGAACUACAUCAACCUAGUAUCAAUAGGGUAUCGAGGCACCAAGCCAGAUUCGCUCUUCAAGUUGGAGCAAGGAGAACCCCCAGGGAUAGCAGAAGGAGCAGCCCACAGUCAAAUCUGUCCAGGGUAUUCAUUCAGGAGAAGGACCCUACAGAUGGAGGGAAUGCAGGAAAGCUAAGAAGAAUCACACCUCAUUGCAGAUCUGCAUUACCGUUGGAAAACAGCAGCCUCAGAACCACAGUAGCCAUGAAGACCAUCAGCCUUCAACCACCACCCUUGUAUCAGAGGAGACAAAUAAGCUUGGAAAUCCUCAAAAAGCCUCAUCCUCAGAGCAAUGUCAUUAUAUAUCUUGUCUUACAGCUCCA